AGCUAUAUGUUUUUAUAUUUAGUUUUUUCUGCCAUGUGAUAUUUUAACGGCCGCAGUACUUUGACUGUGCUAAGGUAGCAUAAUCAAUUGACUUUUAAUUGAAGUCUAGAAUGAAUGGAAAAUUGAGGAAUUUCUGUCUCUUAAAAAAUAUAUUAAAAUUACUACUAAGGUGAAAAUACCUUAAACAAGAAAAAAGACGAGAAGACCCUUAGAGUUUUUUUGUUGGGGUGACAUUUAAGCAAACCUUAUAUUUUGAAAAAAAAAACUACCUUAGGGAUAACAGCAUAAUUUUUUAAAAAGAUUGUGACCUCGAUGUUGGACUAGGAAAUUUAUAAUUAGAAAUUAAAAUUUAAGGUUCUGUUCGAACUUUCACUCCU
rnacentral:rRNA from 1 species